rnacentral:tRNA from 1 species
GGCACUGUGGCGGAGUGGUUAACGCGUUGGACUUGAAAUCCAAUCUCUUCGGAGGCGCAGGUUCGAAUCCUGCCGGUGUCG